rnacentral:rRNA from 1 species
UCCGGACGGGUUCAGUAACGCGUGAGAAUCUAGCUUCAGGUCGGGGAUAACUACUGGAAACGGUGGCUAAUACCGGAUGUGCCGAAAGGUGAAAGGCUUGCUGCCUGAAGAUGAGCUCGCGUCUGAUUAGCUAGUUGGUGUGGUAAGAGCGCACCAAGGCGUCGAUCAGUAGCUGGUCUGAGAGGAUGAUCAGCCACACUGGGACUGAGACACGGCCCAGACUCCUACGGGAGGCAGCAGUGGGGAAUUUUCCGCAAUGGGCGAAAGCCUGACGGAGCAAUACCGCGUGAGGGAGGAAGGCUCUUGGGUUGUAAACCUCUUUUCUCAGGGAAUAAGAAAGUGAAGGUACCUGAGGAAUAAGCAUCGGCUAACUCCGUGCCAGCAGCCGCGGUAAUACGGAGGAUGCAAGCGUUAUCCGGAAUGAUUGGGCGUAAAGCGUCCGCAGGUGGCGAUGUAAGUCUGCUGUUAAAGAGCAAAGCUUAACUUUGUAAAAGCAGUGGAAACUACAUAGCUAGAGUACGUUCGGGGCAGAGGGAAUUCCUGGUGUAGCGGUGAAAUGCGUAGAGAUCAGGAAGAACACCGGUGGCGAAGGCGCUCUGCUAGGCCGUAACUGACACUGAGGAAGGAAGAAAGGA